rnacentral:rRNA from 1 species
AGAGAGAGACAUGCGCGCAUAUCAAUAAGCGGAGGAAAAGAAACUAACUAGGAUUCCCUCAGUAACGGCGAGUGAAGCGGGAAGAGCUCAAAUUUGAAAUCUUCAAGGUUCUACCUUGACGAAUUGUAGUUUAAAGAAGUGUUUUCUGUUGGAGUUUUGGUAAAAGUUCUUUGGAAUAGGACAUCAUAGAGGGUGAGAAUCCCGUAUUUGACCAUUAUUUCCAGCUUUGUGAUACACUUUCAAAGAGUCGGAUUGUUUGGGAAUGCAGUCCAAAAUGGGUGGCUAAAUUUCAUCUAAAGCUAAAUAUUGGCGAGAGACCGAUAGCGAACAAGUACCGUGAGGGAAAGAUGAAAAGAACUUUGAAAAGAGAGUUAAACAGUACGUGAAAUUGUCAAGAGGGAAGCGUUUGACACCAGUGUUGUUUUCUCGAAAAUCAAUUAAAAAAGGCAGGAUUUUGUGUUGUAUUGACUUUAUCAGCUUUCUGCACUCUUUUCUUGUCUUUUUUAAUGCACUUUUCGUUUAACAAGUCAACAUCAAUUUCUUUUGUUGUAAAAAGAUCAUUGGAAGGCGGCUUUCUUUUCGGAGAAAGUGUUUAUAGCCUUUGACUCCUGCAAUCGGAGAGACUGAGGUCUGCAGCGUAGAUCCUUCGGGGUUAGAUACAUUUGUGCUAAGUUAUAGCAUUUUAUAGACAACUUGUUGACUAUGAUUUGUCUUGUAGCUUACUCGCUUAUGUUAUUUUACCUACGCUUAGGAUGUUGAUGUGAUACUGCGAGCA